rnacentral:lncRNA from 1 species
UUGACGUGUGUGUGGGUUGGUCUUCUUUUCAGCACGAUAUCAUUCUGCAGCAGACGUGGUCCACUCUAUCAUUAACGUGUUUGUGUUUCCCACGUAUACGGUAUACAUACGCAUCUUCUUCUUCUCUUUUGGCUUGUUGGCUGGAAUAGGCCGUUUACAACAAAGCAACCAUUUAUCUUUGAAAUUCAUUUCGACAGCUUACGACACGACUUCAAUUAACAAAGGACAAAAGAAUACCACUCGAGAAUUACACACAUCUCCCGUAUUCACAACCUGAAACUAUUUUAAUGCGAGAGGUGUCUAUAAACGGAAGUCGUGCGACUGUAAGAGCGGCGGGUCGUGUUCUUCCAGGAGACUGAGGCAUGAGAGGUUAUACAGUUGUUAUGUACGGACUUACGCAGCCCGGCAAGAUGAACUUCCCUUCCUGUUCUCAAUUUCAGUGCCAUUCAGAGUUGUUUCGUGUGUUGUUUUGUUUUCGUGGAGCUGUAGAAAAACAAGAGGACGCGCACGCAGCAAGGCCUCUCGGUCGUGUUCGUAGUGAAAACGUGCACCAGCAUAACUGCUGGUAACCCUUUUUCCUCCUCUUCUUCCUCCUCCUUAUAUUUCCCUUUGCCUCUUCCCGGUCUGUCCCUCAUUUUUCGAAUUAUUGAUCACCUCGCUCACACCUGGAAGACUGGAAGAAGCAAGGGAUAAAGGCGAGAGGAUGCUUUGGACUGGAAUAAAGAACAAGUAUAUUUGAUUCAAGCCUCAUAGUAUAAGGCUGAGGGAAGUGCAAUGACACCCAUGCACGUCCGACGCCAGGCCGGAAUUAUAUAGCGCACGUCAGCCACAGGGUCAUCCAUCAGUAUUUCUUUUUUCAUUUUUUCAUUUUUUGUUUUUUUGUCUUUUCUCCUUUCAGAGACGAAAAAAAUUCGGUUCGUGUUGCUUCAUUUAGUGGAUCUUUCAUGUAUAUUUUGUAUUCGUUGACCGUGAUAAAUUUAUCUUAUACAUAUAUACGUAUAAAACAUCAAUUGAAAUAUUUACUGCUUCCGCUGUCUGGAAGUGACCGAAGAAAAAGAGCCAUGCAUCACACCACGCGCUUCACGCAGUUUAAAUCCUUCGAAAAGUGAACGCCGAAAUGGCUAGCCGAUUGCAAUCUAUUGAUGCUACACAUUUAAAUAACAGUCGUUGCCCCCUCCCGCUCUUGAAGCGGUGCCGUUUUCCAGUAGGAUGAUUUUGAUGCAUUAACGACUGUAGCUGUUGUGAGGUCGCAACCUCGCUUAGUUAUUUCUCUCUCUCUCUGACUCUUUCCUCCAAUGCAAUGUCUCAAAGUUGUGAUUUGCGCAAGUGUUGACUGUUGACUUUUGAGCUCGUCGUCGUCUUGAUCCAGCGAUGUCGCUAUUGAUCCGUUCGGCUUCGUUUAACGCGCCUAUUGGCGCCUAUGCUAUCCGAACCAUUGACGUCAAACCAACAAAAAAAAAGGGAUAAAAAUAGAAUUGUAAAGCAAAAUAUUGACUCUAACUCUUGGGCACAAUGCAACACGGAACGGUAAAUCAGUUACAGUACGGCUGUUUGAAAAUAAAAAUCUCAAUAGUAGUGUAGUAGUUGAGUGAUUCGGCCGUCUGUGUCAGGAAGAAAAGUCGCAUUAUGAGGAUUGAGGAACCUUUAGUUACCGGUAUUCGUUGCCGGCGACACCCGUUGAGGCGAAUGAUUUUGACAGCGGAAGACGCGGUGAAUUGACACCCCACAGUUUUGAGAUCGCCAUUUGCGUCAUUUAACGGAUGCGCUCGACAGAGUUCUGGAGAUAAUGGCACGUUGAUGUGCAUUAGAAUAGAAAGUGUCGGAGAGAAUAAGGAAGUCACGGAAGAUUGUUACGAGAGGAAGACGAGAGAAGACUCCAUCAACAGGGAGUUAAGGCAUACAAUUUGACUGAGGGUUUUUCUCUUUUUUUAUUAUUUUUUAUCUAUUUUUUUUUAGGAGGAGAAGGUAGGGGGAGGGAGGAAGAGGAUGGGGGUAAGAGUGCAAGUCGAGGACAAGAAGAGAAGAAGAAGGUGGGUGGAAAAGAAAAGGUGUAACUUGUGUAACAGGUGUGGUUGUACCGGAUUGACAAAGUGCUGCGGCACACGCCUUCUCCAUUGCAAGUGUCCAUUCUUUCGCUACAAAUGGGAAUCUCUUCCGCCUGCGACAGCAGCAGAGCUUUUAUUUCCUAGGUGAAACGCGCCCUUCCAUGUAUUUAUUUAUUAUUUUUAAUGAUCCUUUUACAGGUUGAAUGCCAAGGUGGGCCACCGUAAUAGUCCACGUCCUCUUCACGGUGUCCACCGCUGUCUUCGUCCUUUUGCAGUCUCAGACUAUUAUUUUUAUCUCGAUGGCGUGUUGUACACACGCCUCGUACAAAAAUGCCCAGCUUUUUUUUUAUUCCGUCAGGGUCGACAUUUCUCUUAGAACUUCCAAGUGGACAAUAUGGCCGGUUAUGACGAGUGGCACAUCUUGGCCUGUCCCUAUUUGUCUUUCGUUUUUCUGUAUCGAUAUUUGAGUUCAAACAGUCAUCUCCCAUUAUGUGCUAUACUGAAAGUUGUGAAUUGAUUAUGAUUGUGAAUAGGUUAAGUCACGUCAGGUAUUCCAAUUGAGAACUUUUAAUCGAAUUUAUUUCAUUUGGGAAAA